rnacentral:rRNA from 1 species
CCUACGGGGGGCUGCAGUGGGGAAUAUUGGACAAUGGGGGCAACCCUGAUCCAGCCAUGCCGCGUGUGUGAAGAAGGCCCUCGGGUUGUAAAGCACUUUCAGUGAGGAAGAACGCCUGGUGGUUAAUACCCAUCAGGAAAGACAUCACUCGCAGAAGAAGCACCGGCUAACUCCGUGCCAGCAGCCGCGGUAAUACGGAGGGUGCGAGCGUUAAUCGGAAUUACUGGGCGUAAAGCGCGCGUAGGUGGCUUGAUAAGCCGGUUGUGAAAGCCCCGGGCUCAACCUGGGAACGGCAUCCGGAACUGUCAAGCUAGAGUGCAGGAGAGGAAGGUAGAAUUCCCGGUGUAGCGGUGAAAUGCGUAGAGAUCGGGAGGAAUACCAGUGGCGAAGGCGGCCUUCUGGACUGACACUGACACUGAGGUGCGAAAGCGUGGGUAGCAAACAGGAUUAGAUACCCUUGUAGUC